AUUGAACGCUGGCGGCAGGCCUAACACAUGCAAGUCGAACGAGUGGCGGACGGGUGAGUAAUGUCUGGGAAACUGCCCGAUGGAGGGGGAUAACUACUGGAAACGGUAGCUAAUACCGCAUACCAUCGGAUGUGCCCAGAUGGGAUUAGCUAGUAGGUGGGGUAACGGCUCACCUAGGCGACGAUCCCUAGCUGGUCUGAGAGGAUGACCAGCCCCACGUGAAAGGAGAAACGGUCCCGAAUCCUACGGGAGGCAGCAGUGGGGAAAAUUGCAAAAAUGGGGCAAGCCUGAUGCAGCCAAGCCGCGGGUAUGAAAGAGGCCUUCGGGUUGUAAAGUACUUUCAGCGAGGAGGCGUUACUCGCAGAAGAAGCACCGGCUAACUCCGUGCCAGCAGCCGCGGUAAUAC
rnacentral:rRNA from 1 species